UGUCUUCGAAAAUAAAACCACAUGAGGAAUUUUUGUAUGGCGGUUUGGUACAAUUGUAUAAAUGCUAACAGAUCAUUUGUGGUUUCGACAUGUUUUUGCGUUGUCAAAUUAAUUAUGCGAUAAAUGGCUGUAGAAACGCCUUUAUGCUCAAUUAUUGAUAGCCUAUAAUAACAAUCAUAUCGAAGUAAAUUUGGGAGUCACGCGAUGACAUGUUGUGUGGUCCUCACACUACGACAAGGGAGACCAUGCAGUUUGCUAGGCUCCAGAGUAAGCACAUUUGGAAGAACUUCGCAGGGUGGUGAAAAUGCACGAGGAUCUGAGCCCGAGAACCAUGCCUCAGGACUCCCUGGCAUGAUGACUCCUUGCUGUCCCUAGUCCACCUGUCCGUGCUACUGCUCCAGUUUCAACUGUUCUGCCUCUGAUUAUUAUUAUUUGACCAUGCUGGUCAUUUAUGAACAUUUGAACAUCUUGGCCAUGUUCUGUUAUAAUCUCCACCCGGCACAGCCAGAAGAGGACUGGCCACCCCACAUAGCCUGGUUCCUCUCUAGGUUUCUUCCUAGGUUCCGGCCUUUCUAGGGAGUUUUUUCUAGCCACCGUGCUUCUACACCUGCAUUGCUUGCUGUUUGGGAUUUUAGGCUGGGUUUCUGUACAGCACUUUGAGAUAUCAGCUGAUGUACGAAGGGCUAUAUGAAUAAAUUUGAUUUAAAGCAAGUGUA